rnacentral:misc_RNA from 1 species
GCUGUGGGGAAUUUCAAUUAAUUAUUAAAUAAUUAAUCCUCAGCUGAUCCCUUACCCUCAAACUUCAAAUUAAUUUUUUAGUUAAUACAGUUAAUUCCCGCCUGAAAGUGAACAGGUACUGUAACUCAAUGGUUUCUAUAAAAAAUUAAUGAGAGGAUCGGUUCAGUUGAUAAGACUUUAUUGAUAUUUUUAUUAUGUUGAAAAUUUAAGUCUUGUCAACCAUCUCUUUUAAUCAGGGGAUUGUAAAUUCCACCAAGUCUCCCUUCACCUAAAAAAGGAAGAUAACAAAUUUUUCAUGUUUGAAUGAUAUAAAGUGAAGAACAGAAAUGGGGCAAUCAGCUUAUUAAUGUGAUGAGAGAGGUGUUGUAUCCUGGCAACCAAGCAGUCAAGCUCAAAGCUAAUUUAUCCAGCCAAAACCCCACUGGAAAUAACUAUCAAAUGUACAUGGUAGAGAUUUUUGCAUCCAUGAUGUGUUUGUCUUGCUUUGUUAGGCAGCUUCACAUGUGAAAUGAGGACCUUUGCUACCAUUCCCAUGUGAUUGGCUAACCUGGUCAUGGUUCUUCUCUCCAAUUUUG